rnacentral:rRNA from 1 species
AUUGAACGCUGGCGGCAUGCCUUACACAUGCAAGUCGAACGGCAGCACGGGAGCAAUCCUGGUGGCGAGUGGCGAACGGGUGAGUAAUAUAUCGGAACGUGCCCAGUCGUGGGGAUAACGUAGCGAAAGCUACGCUAAUACCGCAUACGAUCUAUGGAUGAAAGCGGGGGAUCGCAAGACCUCGCGCGAUUGGAGCGGCCGAUAUCAGAUUAGGUAGUUGGUGAGGUAAAGGCUCACCAAGCCGACGAUCUGUAGCUGGUCUGAGAGGACGACCAGCCACACUGGGACUGAGACACGGCCCAGACUCCUACGGGAGGCAGCAGUGGGGAAUUUUUGGACAAUGGGCGCAAGCCUGAUCCAGCAAUGCCGCGUGCAGGAUGAAGGCCUGGUUGUAAC